CGCGUCGCUACUACCGAUGAAUGGCUUAGUGAGCCCUCGAUCGAGUUCGAGACUAGCAACAGUUCUGUUCUGAAAAGUUGGUCAAACUUGGCAUUUG
rnacentral:rRNA from 1 species